rnacentral:rRNA from 1 species
UACGUAGGGGGCAAGCGUUGUCCGGAUUUACUGGGCGUAAAGAGCUCGUAGGCGGUCUGUCGCGUCGGCUGUGAAAACCCGGGGCUCAACCCCGGGCCUGCAGUCGAUACGGGCAGACUAGAGUGUGGUAGGGGAGACUGGAAUUCCUGGUGUAGCGGUGAAAUGCGCAGAUAUCAGGAGGAACACCGGUGGCGAAGGCGGGUCUCUGGGCCAUAACUGACGCUGAGGAGCGAAAGCGUGGGGAGCGAACAGG